rnacentral:rRNA from 1 species
CUACGGGACGCUGCAGUGAGGAAUAUUGCACAAUGGGGGGAACCCUGAUGCAGCAACGCCGCGUGGAGGAUGACGCAUUUCGGUGUGUAAACUUCUUUUAUAUGUCAAGAAAAUGACGGUAGCAUAUGAAUAAGCACCGGCUAACUCCGUGCCAGCAGCCGCGGUAAUACGGAGGGUGCAAGCGUUACUCGGAAUCACUGGGCGUAAAGGACGCGUAGGCGGGUUGGAAAGUCAGGUGUGAAAUCCUACAGCUUAACUGUAGAACUGCACUUGAAACUUCUAAUCUAGAGUAUGGGAGGGGGAGAUGGAAUUAGUGGUGUAGGGGUAAAAUCCGUAGGUAUCACUAGGAAUACCUAAAGCGAAGGCGAUCUCCUGGAACAUUACUGACGCUAAGGCGUGAAAGCGUGGGGAGCAAACAGGAUUAGAUACCCGUGUAGUC